GACGAACGCUGGCGGCGUGCUUAACACAUGCAAGUCGAACGGAAAGGCCCUGCUUUUGUGGGGUGCUCGAGUGGCGAACGGGUGAGUAACACGUGAGUAACCUGCCCUUGACUUUGGGAUAACUUCAGGAAACUGGGGCUAAUACCGGAUAGGAGCUCCUGCUGCAUGGUGGGGUUUGGAAAGUUUCGGCGGUUGGGGAUGGACUCGCGGCUUAUCAGCUUGUUGGUGGGGUAGUGGCUUACCAAGGCUUUGACGGGUAGCCGGCCUGAGAGGGUGACCGGCCACGUUAAAACUGAGAUACGGCCCAGACUCCUACGCGAGACAGCAGUGGAGAAUAUUGCACAAUGGCCGGAAGCCUGAUACAGCAACGCCGCGUGCGAGAUAACCUCCUUCUGGUUGUAAACCACUUUCGCCUUUAACGAAACUUGAAUGACGGUAAUUGCUAAAGAAGCACCGGCUAACUACGUG
rnacentral:rRNA from 1 species